UAGGGAAUCUUCCGCAAUGGACGCAAGUCUGACGGAGCAACGCCGCGUGAGUGAAGAAGGAUUUCGGUUCGUAAAACUCUGUUGUUAGAGAAGAACAGCGCAUAGAGUAACUGUUAUGCGUGUGACGGUAUCUAACCAGAAAGCCACGGCUAACUACGUGCCAGCAGCCGCGGUAAUACGUAGGUGGCAAGCGUUGUCCGGAUUUAUUGGGCGUAAAGCGAGCGCAGGCGGUCAAUUAAGUCUGAUGUGAAAGCCCCCGGCUCAACCGGGGAGGGUCAGUGGAAACUGGUUGGCUUGAGUGCAGAAGAGGAGAGUGGAAUUCCAUGUGUAGCGGUGAAAUGCGUAGAUAUAUGGAGGAACACCAGUGGCGAAGGCGACUCUCUGGUCUGUAACUGACGCUGAGGUUCGAAAGCGUGGGUAGCAAACAGG
rnacentral:rRNA from 1 species